AGCGAACGCUGGCGGCAGGCCUAACACAUGCAAGUCGAACGAACUCUUCGGAGUUAGUGGCGGACGGGUGAGUAACACGUGGGAACGUGCCUUUUGGUUCGGAAUAACUCAGGGAAACUUGUGCUAAUACCGAAUGUGCCCUUCGGGGGAAAGAUUUAUCGCCAUUAGAGCGGCCCGCGUCUGAUUAGCUAGUUGGUGAGGUAACGGCUCACCAAGGCGACGAUCAGUAGCUGGUCUGAGAGGAUGACCAGCCACACUGGGACUGAGACACGGCCCAGACUCCUACGGGAGGCAGCAGUGGGGAAUCUAGCGCAAUGGGCGAAAGCCUGACGCAGCCAUGCCGGGUGAAUGAUGAAGGUCUUAGGAUUGUAAAAUUCUUUCACCGGGGACGAUAAUGACGGUACCCGGAGAAGAAGCCCCGGCUAACUACGUG
rnacentral:rRNA from 1 species